UACGAAGGGGGCGAGCGUUGUUCGGAUUUACUGGGCGUAAAGGGCGCGCAGGCGGUUCUGUUUGUCAGGCGUGAAAGCCCCGGGCUCAACCUGGGAAUGGCGCCGGGGACGGCGGGACUAGAGAUCGGGAGAGGAGCGUGGAAUUCCCAGUGUAGAGGUGAAAUUCGUAGAUAUUGGGAAGAACACCGGUGGCGAAGGCGGCGCUCUGGACCGAGACUGACGCUGAGGCGCGAAAGCGUGGGGAGCAAACAGG
rnacentral:rRNA from 1 species